rnacentral:lncRNA from 1 species
AACGAAAUUUCCAUUACUUUUUUAACUUUCAACUAACUAAAAUUAUGUAACGAAGCAUAAUAAUUAGAACAAAUAUGAAAAAUAUAUACUUUGAGCUAACUAAAAUUACUAUCAAAGAAAUUUUAGUUACUACCAAAUAUGAAAAAUAUAUACUUUGAGCAAACUCAAAUACAUACUUUAGCUAGUAUCUAACAAGAAAAAUAAAGAGUUAAAGUUUUUGA